rnacentral:rRNA from 1 species
UGGGGAAUAUUGGACAAUGGGGGCAACCCUGAUCCAGCCAUGCCGCGUGUGUGAAGAAGGCUUUCGGGUUGUAAAGCACUUUCAGCGAGGAGGAAGGCUCUGAAGUUAAUACCUUCAGGGAUUGACGUUACUCGCAGAAGAAGCACCGGCUAACUCCGUGCCAGCAGCCGCGGUAAUACGGAGGGUGCAAGCGUUAAUCGGAAUUACUGGGCGUAAAGCGCGCGUAGGUGGUUAGGUAAGCGAGAUGUGAAAGCCCCGGGCUUAACCUGGGAACGGCAUUUCGAACUGUCUGACUAGAGUGUGGUAGAGGGUAGUGGAAUUUCCUGUGUAGCGGUGAAAUGCGUAGAUAUAGGAAGGAACACCAGUGGCGAAGGCGGCUACCUGGACCAACACUGACACUGAGGUGCGAAAGCGUGGGGGAGCAAACAGGAUUAGAUACCC